GAUGAACGCUAGCGAUAGGCUUAACACAUGCAAGUCGAGGGGCAGCACGCUUUCGGGUGGUGGCGACCGGCGCACGGGUGAGUAACACGUAUGCAACCUACCCAUAACAGGGGGAUAACCCGGCGAAAGUCGGGCUAAUACCGCAUAAAACAGGGACACCGCAUGGUGAUAUUUGUUAAAGAUUAAUUGGUUAUGGAUGGGCAUGCGUUCCAUUAGGUAGUUGGUGAGGUAACGGCCCACCAAGCCAUCGAUGGAUAGGGGAACUGAGAGGUUUGUCCCCCACACUGGUACUGAGACACGGACCAGACUCCUACGGGAGGCAGCAGUGAGGAAUAUUGGUCAAUGGGCGAGAGCCUGAACCAGCCAAGUCGCGUGAAGGAAGACGGUAUUAUGUAUUGUAAACUUCUUUUGUGAGGGAAUAAAGUGAGGAACGUGUUCCUUUUUGUAUGUACCUUACGAAUAAGGAUCGGCUAACUCCGUGCCAGCAGCCGCGGUAAAAC
rnacentral:rRNA from 1 species